rnacentral:rRNA from 1 species
UACGUAGGCAGCGAGCGUUGUUCGGAGUUACUGGGCGUAAAGAGUGCGUAGGCGGUUUUCUAAGUUUGGUGUGAAAUCUCCCGGCUUAACUGGGAGGGUGCGCCGAAAACUGGAGGCAUGGACUGAUGGAGGAGGUGAGAGCGGAAUUCCUGGUGUAGCGGUGAAAUGCGUAGAUAUCAGGAGGAACACCUGUGGUGUAGACGGCUUACUGGACCAUACUGACGCUGAGGCACGAAAGCGUGGGGUAGCAAACAGG